rnacentral:rRNA from 1 species
UUAAGCGACUAAGCGUACACGGUGGAUGCCCUGGCAGUCAGAGGCGAUGAAGGACGUGCUAAUCUGCGAUAAGCGUCGGUAAGGUGAUAUGAACCGUUAUAACCGGCGAUUUCCGAAUGGGGAAACCCAGUGUGAUUCGUCACACUAUCAUUAACUGAAUCCAUAGGUUAAUGAGGCGAACCGGGGGAACUGAAACAUCUAAGUACCCCGAGGAAAAGAAAUCAACCGAGAUUCCCCCAGUA